rnacentral:rRNA from 1 species
GCUAGCUACAGGCUUAACACAUGCAAGUCGACCUUCAGCAUGGUCUUAGCUUGCUAAGGCCGAUGGCGACCGGCGCACGGGUGAGUAACGCGUAUCCAACCUGCCUUACACUCUUGGACAGCCUUCUGAAAGGGAGAUUAAUACAAGAUGUUAUCAUGAGUAAGCAUUUUCGCAUGAUUAAAGGUUUACCGGUGUAAGAUGGGGAUGCGUUCCAUUAGAUAGUAGGCGGGGUAACGGCCCACCUAGUCUUCGAUGGAUAGGGGUUCUGAGAGGAAGGUCCCCCACAUUGGAACUGAGACACGGUCCAAACUCCUACGGGAGGCAGCAGUGAGGAAUAUUGGUCAAUGGACGAGAGUCUGAACCAGCCAAGUAGCGUGAAGGAUGAAGGUUCUAUGGAUUGUAAACUUCUUUUAUACGGGAAUAAACGAAUCCACGUGUGGAUUUUUGCAUGUACCGUAUGAAUAAGGAUCGGCUAACUCCGUGCCAGCAGCCGCGGUAAUACGGAGGAUCCGAGCGUUAUCCGGAUUUAUUGGGUUUAAAGGGAGCGUAGAUGGGUUGUUAAGUCAGUUGUGAAAGUUUGCGGCUCAACCGUAAAAUUGCAAUUGAUACUGGCAGUCUUGAGUACAGUUGAGGUAGGCGGAAUUCGUGGUGUAGCGGUGAAAUGCUUAGAUAUCACGAAGAACUCCGAUUGCGAAGGCAGCUUACUAACCUGUAACUGACAUUGAUGCUCGAAAGUGUGGGUAUCAAACAGGAUUAGAUACCCUGGUAGUCCACACGGUAAACGAUGAAUACUCGCUGUAGGCGAUAUACAGUCUGCGGCCAAGCGAAAGCAUUAAGUAUUCCACCUGGGGAGUACGCCGGCAACGGUGAAACUCAAAGGAAUUGACGGGGGCCCGCACAAGCGGAGGAACAUGUGGUUUAAUUCGAUGAUACGCGAGGAACCUUACCCGGGCUUAAAUUGCAACCGAAUAUGGCGGAAACGCUAUAGCUAGCAAUAGCGGUUGUGAAGGUGCUGCAUGGUUGUCGUCAGCUCGUGCCGUGAGGUGUCGGCUUAAGUGCCAUAACGAGCGCAACCCUUGCCGAUAGUUACUAACAGGUUAUGCUGAGGACUCUGUCGGGACUGCCAUCGUAAGAUGUGAGGAAGGUGGGGAUGACGUCAAAUCAGCACGGCCCUUACGUCCGGGGCUACACACGUGUUACAAUGGGGGGUACAGAGGGCUGCUACCACGCAAGUGGAUGCCAAUCCCAAAAACCUCUCUCAGUUCGGAUUGAAGUCUGCAACCCGACUUCAUGAAGCUGGAUUCGCUAGUAAUCGCGCAUCAGCCAUGGCGCGGUGAAUACGUUCCCGGGCCUUGUACACA